GACGAACCACACGAACGUUAUUCGGAAUUACUGGGCUUAAAGGGUGCGUAGGCGGCGCGGUAAGUAGGGUGUGAAAUCCCUCGGCUCAACCGAGGAACUGCGCUCUAAACUACCGUGCUUGAGGGAGGUAGAGGUGAGCGGAACUUAGGGUGGAGCGGUGAAAUGCGUAGAUAUCUGGAGGAACACCGGUGGCGAAGGCGGCAUCCUGGACCAAUUCUGACGCUGAGGAGCGAAAGCCAGGGGAGCAAACGGG
rnacentral:rRNA from 1 species